UCAAUGGGCGGCGCGGGUGGGGAGGGCUUCUGCCCUGCCGGUUCGUGAGUACCGGUCUGUCAACCCUGCCUUGCGCCGCCCCUCCC
rnacentral:antisense_RNA from 1 species